GCCCGAAUAGCUCAGCCGGUUAGAGCACUUGACUGUUAAUCAGGGGGUCGUUGGUGCGAGUCCAACUUCGGGCGCCA
rnacentral:tRNA from 1 species